rnacentral:misc_RNA from 1 species
AACGCAAAUUGCGCCCGCGUCUUCGGACAAGGGCAUGUCUGCCUCAGCGUCGGGUUAAUACUCACAAUCCAAACCCCUGUGGUUUGUUCGUUGUGGACCUGGCCGUCCCGAUCGAUUCACUUCGGUCGGGUCGGCUGAAGAACAGAGGUUGACGCAUGGACCCGAUAUGGGCCUCAACUGGGUAGGCAAUUCGUUGCUAAAUGCUUUAGUUGAUGGCUUGUGGACCGUGCAUGUUGGCCCAAACCAGGAACCGAGCCUUGUGCUUGGAACUCAACCCAUUUUCUCGACCUGAGCUCAGGCAAGAACACCCGCUGAACUUAA